UCUUACCCGCUCCGCAACCAGAUCAAGCACCUUCUUCUUGGGAGGUGCGCCUCCACUUCGCCUCUCUCUGGCCACGGAGCGCCUCCCUCUCACCACCAUGGCGACGGAUCUGCCUCCCUGAGCCACGGGUCCACCACCAUGGAUACGGACACACCAUGAUGGCGCCACGGGGAUCCACCACGAUGGCAUGGCGACGGAUCCACGGAUCCCUGCGCCAGAUCCAAAACCAACGGAGACGGAGGGACACACAAGCGCCAGACCUCGGCCUCCUCCAAGGUAGACCCAUCUCCGCCAUGGCGACCAACUGCAGCACAGCUGCCCAUCCAUUGGUGUUGCUGCUCUCCUCUGAUUUGUCGCCAUGAACAUGCCCUAGGUGUUUCUGCAUCUUACCUCAACAAGGUCACCCCAUUAUUUCUCCAAGAUCCAGCGUCAAAGACUUCUUCUCUUCUUCCUGCACUAUCCAUGUCAAGCUCCGUGGCGUUGGAUAAAAGAAUUCUUGAAGCUAUUCUUGAUGUACUGAGAGAGCUUUCUCUUUAUUGUUUCUUGUGAUUUUUGUUUGGUCCACCGAUUUGGCCUCCUCCUGCCUCCACACGUGCAGUGCAGUGUUCUACAGCAGUAACUAUGAAGGAAAGGCAUCCAUGGUCGGUAGACGAACAACUGUAUUUGUUGCAACCUUUGGCCACUAGUCUUGAUGCGAGAGAAACAUAUCUUAGAGACAAAAAGGGCUAUCGGGAAACUGUUGCCAACAUUAUGAAUGGAUUUUUUGGAGGUAAUAAUUGCAAGUAUGAGAAGCUGGAUGCUAAAAAGGUUUUGGCAAAAUUUAAGCACUUUGCUAAAAGAUAUAGAGAAUAUCUGAAAAGCCCUGAUCAUAUAAUUCAGGAUGUGGCUACAAUCCGGGGGAAAUUUGAACUGGUUGAAAUAUAUAUUGCGAAAUGGGGUUGGAUUUUCACUGAAGAAACUUACUCAACUUCAACAAGUUCAUUGGCUAAGUCGUCCAAGAGGAAACGAGAUGAAGUUGAAGACGAAAUUGCACAUGCAGGUAUGCUUAUGGAAAGGGUAAUGUUUCCACCCGGUGCGCCGGCGGAAACAUUGGGCCGGUCCUGCCGCUUUGCGUUCGAUCGCACAGAUCCAGCGUA